UACGGAGGAUGCAAGCGUUAUCCGGAAUGAUUGGGCGUAAAGCGUCCGUAGGUGGGGAUGCAAGUCUGCUGUCAAAGAAUGAAGCUUAACUUCAUAUAGGCAGUGGAAACUGCGUUUCUAGAGUGCGAUCGGGGUAGGGGGAAUUCCUGGUGUAGCGGUGAAAUGCGUAGAGUUCAGGAAGAACACCGGUGGCGAAAGCGCCCUGCUAGGUCGAGACUGACACUGAUGGACGAAAGCUAGGGGAGCGAAUGGG
rnacentral:rRNA from 1 species